rnacentral:rRNA from 1 species
GAUGAACGCUAGCGGCAGGCCUAACACAUGCAAGUCGAGGGGUAGAGUGGCUUCGGCUACUUGAGACCGGCGCACGGGUGCGUAACGCGUAUGCAAUCUACCUUAUACAGGGGGAUAGCCCAGAGAAAUUUGGAUUAAUACCCCAUAGGAUAUUAGAGUGGCAUCACUUAGAUAUUAAAGUUUCAACGGUAUAAGAUGAGCAUGCGUCCCAUUAGUUAGUUGGUAAGGUAACGGCUUACCAAGACGAUGAUGGGUAGGGGUCCUGAGAGGGAGAUCCCCCACACUGGUACUGAGACACGGACCAGACUCCUACGGGAGGCAGCAGUGAGGAAUAUUGGUCAAUGGUCGGAAGACUGAACCAGCCAUGCCGCGUGCAGGAAGACGGUCCUAUGGAUUGUAAACUGCUUUUGUACGGGAAGAAACACUCCCUCGUGAGGGGGCUUGACGGUACCGUAAGAAUAAGGAUCGGCUAACUCCGUGCCAGCAGCCGCGGUAAAUAGUACUCUA